rnacentral:rRNA from 1 species
CCUACGGGAGACAGCAGUGGGGAAUAUUGCACAAUGGGGGGAACCCUGAUGCAGCGACGCCGCGUGGGUGAAGGAGUACUUCGGUAUGUAAAGCUCUAUUGGCAGGAAAGAAAAUGACGGUACCCGACUAAGAAGCCCCGGCUAACUACGUGACAGCAGCCGCGGUAAUACGCAGGGGGCAAGCGUUAUCCGGAUUUAUUGGGUGUAAAGGGAGCGUAGACGGUAGUGCAAGUCCGGAGUGAAAGCCCGGGGCUCAACCCCGGGACUGCUCUGGAAACUGUUAGGCUGGAGAGCCGGAGGGGCAGGCGGAAUGCCUGGUGUAGCGGUGAAAUGCGUAGAUAUCAGGAGGAACACCGGCGGCGAAGGCGGCCUGCUGGACCAUAACUGACGUUGAGGCACGAAAGCGUGGGGAGCAAACAGGAUUAGAUACCCCAGUAGUC